GACGAACGCUGGCGGCGUGCUUAACACAUGCAAGUCGAACGGAAAGGCCCUGCUUUUGUGGGGUUCUCGUUUGGCGAACGGGUGAGUAACACGUGAGUAACCUGCCCUUGACUUUGUGAUAACUUCAUGAAACUGGGGCUAAUACCGGAUAGGAGCUCCUGCUGCAUGGUGGGGGUUGGAAAGUUUCGGCGGUUGGGGAUGGACUCGCGGCUUAUCAGCUUGUUGGUGGGGUAGUGGCUUACUAAGUCUUUGACGGGUAGCCGGCCUGAGAGGGUGACCGGCCACAUUGGGACUGAGAUACGGACCAGACGCCUACGGGAGGCAGCAGUGGGGAAUAUUGCACAAUGGGAGGAAGCCUGAUGCAGCAACGAAGCGUGCGGGAUGACGGCAUUCGGGUUGUAAACAGCUUUCGACUGUGACGAAGCGUGAGUGACGGUAAUGGGUAAAGAAGCACCGGCUAACUACGUG
rnacentral:rRNA from 1 species